rnacentral:rRNA from 1 species
GAGUUUGAUUAUGGCUCANCAUUUAACGCUGGCGGCAGGCCUAACACAUGCAAGUCGGACGGUAACAGGAUUAGCUUGCUAAUUGCUGACGAGUGGCGGACGGGUGAGUAAUACUUAGGGAUCUGCCUUUGUGAGGGGGAUAACCAUUGGAAACGAUGGCUAAUACCGCAUAAUGCCUACGGACCAAAGGGGGCUUUUAGCUCUCGCACGAAGAGGAACCUAAGCGAGAUUAGCUAGUUGGUGGGGUAAAGGCUCACCAAGGCGACGAUCUCUAGCUGUUCUGAGAGGAAGAUCAGCCACACUGGGACUGAGACACGGCCCAGACUCCUACGGGAGGCAGCAGUGGGGAAUAUUGCACAAUGGGGGAAACCCUGAUGCAGCCAUGCCGCGUGUGUGAAGAAGGCCUUCGGGUUGUAAAGCACUUUCAGUCGUGAGGAAAGGUUGGUAGUUAAUACCUGCCAACUAUGACGUUAGCGACAGAAGAAGCACCGGCUAACUCCGUGCCAGCAGCCGCGGUAAUACGGAGGGUGCGAGCGUUAAUCGGAAUUACUGGGCGUAAAGCGCACGCAGGCGGUUUGUUAAGCUAGAUGUGAAAGCCCCGGGCUCAACCUGGGAGGGUCAUUUAGAACUGGCAGACUAGAGUCUUGGAGAGGGGAGUGGAAUUCCAGGUGUAGCGGUGAAAUGCGUAGAGAUCUGGAGGAACAUCAGUGGCGAAGGCGACUCCCUGGCCAAAGACUGACGCUCAUGUGCGAAAGUGUGGGUAGCGAACAGGAUUAGAUACCCUGGUAGUCCACACCGUAAACGCUGUCUACUAGCUGUUUGUGUAUUUAAUACGUGAGUAGCGAAGCUNACGCGCUAAGUAGACCGC